CCUACGGGUGGCUGCAGUGGGGAAUAUUGGACAAUGGGGGCAACCCUGAUCCAGCCAUGCCGCGUGUGUGAAGAAGGCCCUCGGGUUGUAAAGCACUUUCAGUGAGGAAGAACGCCUGGUGGUUAAUACCCAUCAGGAAAGACAUCACUCACAGAAGAAGCACCGGCUAACUCCGUGCCAGCAGCCGCGGUAAUACGGAGGGUGCGAGCGUUAAUCGGAAUUACUGGGCGUAAAGCGCGCGUAGGUGGCUUGAUAAGCCGGUUGUGAAAGCCCCGGGCUCAACCUGGGAACGGCAUCCGGAACUGUCAAGCUAGAGUGCAGGCGAGGAAGGUAGAAUUCCCGGUGUAGCGGUGAAAUGCGUAGAGAUCGGGAGGAAUACCAGUGGCGAAGGCGGCCUUCUGGACUGACACUGACACUGAGGUGCGAAAGCGUGGGUAGCAAACAGGAUUAGAUACCCGGGUAGUC
rnacentral:rRNA from 1 species